GGUGCUAUAGUGUAGUGGUUAUCACUCGGGAUUCUGAUGCGCAACUUCAAAUUGCGGAUUCCCGAAACCCAGGUUCGAAUCCUGGUAGCACCU